UCGGCCUUCGGGGUCAACCCAGCGGCUUCUAUGAGGAAGGCGGCGCAAAGGAGGCUCGAGGGCUUGUUAAGGAAGGCGGCAAGGGCCGCUGAAGGGGGGAAAACGAAAGGCAUUUUCUGGACUACAGCUAAUGCAGCGGCUGAGUCUAAUGCACCCGAAGCCUGAAGUUAGUACUUGGCCGAUUCCACUACCUCAAGUAGGGAGAGAUUUCAUCCUAGGCUGGAUCUGUCUUAUAGUAAGAUCUU
rnacentral:lncRNA from 1 species